rnacentral:rRNA from 1 species
UUCCGGUUGAUCCUGCCGGAGGUUACUGCUAUCGGAGUUCGAUUAAGCCAUGCGAGUCUAAAGGUUUCUUCGGAAACCUUGGCGGACUGCUCAGUAACACGUGGAUAACCUACCCUUGGGACUGGAAUAACCCCGGGAAACUGGGGAUAAUACCGGAUAGAUCAGGGAUGCUGGAAUGCACCUUGAUCCAAAGCUCCGGCGCCCAAGGAUGGGUCUGCGGCCUAUCAGGUAGUAGUGGGUGUAACGUACCUACUAGCCAACGACGGGUACGGGUUGUGAGAGCAAGAGCCCGGAGAUGGAUUCUGAGACACGAAUCCAGGCCCUACGGGGUGCAGCAGGCGCGAAACCUUUACAAUGUGCGAAAGCAUGAUAAGGGAACUCCGAGUGCCAGCAUCUAAUGUUGGCUGUCCUUGUGCCUAAAACGCACAAGAUAGCAAGGGCCGGGUAAGACCGGUGCCAGCCGCCGCGGUAACACCGGCGGCCCGAGUGGUAGCCGCUAUUAUUGGGUCUAAAGGGUCCGUAGCCGGUUCGAUAAGUCCUCUGGGAAAUCUGGUUGCUUAACAAUCAGACUGCCAAGGGAUACUGUCGAACUUGAGACCGGGAGAGGUAAGAGGUACUUCAGGGGUAGGAGUGAAAUCUUGUAAUCCCUGGGGGACCAUCUGUGGCGAAGGCGUCUUACCAGAACGGGUCUGACGGUGAGGGACGAAAGCUGGGGGCGCAAACCGGAUUAGAUACCCGGGUAGUCCCAGCCGUAAACGAUGCUCGCUAUGUGUCAGGUACGGUGUGACCGUAUCCGGUGCCGUAGGGAAGCCGUGAAGCGAGCCACCUGGGAAGUACGGCCGCAAGGCUGAAACUUAAAGGAAUUGGCGGGGGAGCACUACAACGGGUGGAGCCUGCGGUUUAAUUGGAUUCAACGCCGGG